rnacentral:rRNA from 1 species
GAAACGACUGCUAAGACUGGAUAGGAAACAAAAAGGCAUCUUUUUGUCUUUAAAAGACCUUCUUAUGAAGGUAUGCUUAAAGAGGGGCUUGCGCCACAUUAGUUAGUUGGUAGGGUAAAGCCUACCAAGACGAUGAUGUGUAGCUGGACUGAGAGGUUGAACAGCCACAUUGGGACUGAGACACGGCCCAAACUCCUACGGGAGGCAGCAGUAGGGAAUUUUCGGCAAUGGAGGAAACUCUGACCGAGCAACGCCGCGUGAACGAUGAAGUAUUUCGGUAUGUAAAGUUCUUUUAUUGAAGAAGAAAAAGUAGUGGAAAAACUAUAUUGACGUUAUUCAAUGAAUAAGCCCCGGCUAACUAUGUGCCAGCAGCCGCGGUAAGACAUAGGGGGCGAGCGUUAUCCGGAAUUAUUGGGCGUAAAGGGUGCGUAGGCUGUUAGAUAAGUCUAUAAUUUAAUUUCAGUGCUUAACGCUGUCUUGUUAUAGAAACUGUCUUGACUAGAGUGAGAUAGAGGCAAGCGGAAUUCCAUGUGUAGCGGUAAAAUGUGUAAAUAUAUGGAGGAACACCAGAAGCGUAGGCGGCUUGCUGGGUCUUUACUGACGCUGAGGCACGAAAGCGUGGGUAGCAAACAGGAUUAGAUACCCUGGUAGUCCACGCCGUAAACGAUGAGUACUAAGUGUCGGGGUAAAACUCGGUACUGAAGUUAACACAUUAAGUACUCCGCCUGAGUAGUACGUACGCAAGUAUGAAACUUAAAGGAAUUGACGGGACUCCGCACAAGUGGUGGAUCAUGUUGUUUAAUUCGAAGAUACACGAAAAAUCUUACCAGGUCUUGACAUACUCUGCAAAGCUAUAGAAAUAUAGUGGAGGUUAUCAGGGAUACAGGUGGUGCAUGGUUGUCGUCAGUUCGUGUCGUGAGAUGUUAGGUUAAGUCCUAAAACGAGCGCAACCCUUGUCGUUAAUUGCCAGCACGUAAUGGUGGGGACUUUAGCGAGACUGCCAAUUAAACAUUGGAGGAAGGUGAGGAUUACGUCAAAUCAUCAUGCCCCUUAUGAUCUGGGCUACAAACGUGAUACAAUGGCUGUGACAAAGAGUAGCUGAAACGCGAGUUUUUAGCCAAUCUCAAAAAAGCAGUCUCAGUUCGGAUUGAAGUCUGUAACUCGACUUCAUGAAGUUGGAAUCGCUAGUAAUCGCGAAUCAGCAUGUCGCGGUGAAUACGUUCACGGGGUUUGUACACACCGCCCGUCAAAUC